UACGGAGGGUGCGAGCGUUGUCCGGAAUCACUGGGCGUAAAGGGCGCGUAGGCGGCCUGAUAAGUAGGGGGGUGAAAUCCUGCGGCUUAACCGCAGGGCUGCCUUCUAAACUGUCAGGCUAGAGCACGGUAGAGGCAGAUGGAAUUCCCGGUGUAGCGGUGGAAUGCGUAGAGAUCGGGAAGAACAUCAGUGGCGAAGGCGGUCUGCUGGGCCGUUGCUGACGCUGAGGCGCGACAGCGUGGGGGAGCAAACAGG
rnacentral:rRNA from 1 species